rnacentral:rRNA from 1 species
UACGUAGGGGGCUAGCGUUGUCCGGAUUUAUUGGGCGUAAAGAGCGUGUAGGCGGCCUGGUAGGUCUGCUGUGAAAACUCGAGGCUCAACCUCGAGAUGUCGGCGGAAACCAUCUGGCUAGAGUCCGGAAGAGGAGAGUGGAAUUCCGUGGUGUAGCGGUGAAAUGCGCAGAUAUCAGGAAGAACACCCCGUGGCUAAGGCGGCUCUCUAGUACGGUACUGACGCUGAGACGCGAAAGCGUGGGGAGCGAACAGG